rnacentral:rRNA from 1 species
AACGCUAGCUACAGGCUUAACACAUGCAAGUCGACGGGCAGCACAAGGCAGCAAUGCUGAGGUGGCGACCGGCGCACGGGUGCGUAACGCGUAUCCAACCUUCCCGUUACUCAUGGAUAGCCUUCCGAAAGGGAGAUUAAUACAUGAUGGUGUUGAAAUUCCGCAUGUUAUUUCAACUAAAGAUUUAUCGGUAACGGAUGGGGAUGCGUGACAUUAGAUAGUAGGCGGGGUAACGGCCCACCUAGUCUACGAUGUCUAGGGGUUCUGAGAGGAAGGUCCCCCACACUGGAACUGAGACACGGUCCAGACUCCUACGGGAGGCAGCAGUGAGGAAUAUUGGUCAAUGGCCGGAAGGCUGAACCAGCCAAGUAGCGUGAAGGAUGAAGGUUCUAUGGAUUGUAAACUUCUUUUAUACGGGAAUAAAACCUCCCACGUGUGGGAGCUUGUAUGUACCGUAUGAAUAAGCAUCGGCUAACUCCGUGCCAGCAGCCGCGGUAAUACGGAGGAUGCGAGCGUUAUCCGGAUUUAUUGGGUUUAAAGGGAGCGUAGACGGGAGAUUAAGUCAGCUGUGAAAGUUUGAGGCCCAACCUUAAAAUUGCAGUUGAUACUGGUUUCCUUGAGUGCGGUUGAGGUGUAUGGAAUUCGUGGUGUAGCGGUGAAAUGCUUAGAUAUCACGAAGAACUCCGAUUG